AGGUUAUUUUAAGGGUCUCGUCCGUCACAGCUGUUGUUUCAGGCCCCACAGUGCUGCGGGUAUUUCCUCACCUUUUCUCUGAGCUGCUAGCGUGAGACAAACUGCUCUAAUCACCUUAUCCUCCUCUGUGGACUGAAAAGCUAUAGAUUUCAUAAUGGAGAGCAGUUCUCAGGCAUCUGAUUCUGGCGAGAAGGUCAAUAGUGUUGAGGAGAAACCUGUGAAUCCAAUGGAAGUGUUCAGCAAGCAGCUGGAAGACAUCAUCAACACGUUCGGUUCUGCAUCCAGCCUGCUGGAAGAGAAGAUCUCCAGCUUGGAAAAGGAUGAAGAAAACCUGGAGGAAAAAACCACGGAUGCUAACACGGUGUUGAGCAACAACCCAGAGACCGAACAAACAGCCAGCGGGCUUCUGGAAGGACUGAGUAAAGAAGCUUCACCUCUUCUGCAAAGCCUAAAAACUCUCAUGUCACCGGAGGAGAAAGUGGAGAUGGUGUUGAGCAAAUAUGGAGAACUGUUGAAGGAGCAGAAGAGUGAACAGGUACAGCUGAAGAUGCUUCAGAAGAAACAAGGUCUCCUGGUUAAACAGAGAGACCAGCUCCAGUUGGAGCACAGCCGUGGAAUCCUGGCCCGGAGCAGGUUGGAGAUCCUCUGUCGGGAUCUUUAUGAGCACACCAAAACCCUGAAGGAAGAAAUGCUGCUGAAGUGCCAGGAGGAUGAGAAAAUGCGAGCAGAGAUCCACAGCCAAUUCCAGGGCACAGUGCUGGAGAUCCAGGCCCAAAUCGAGCAGCACAGCAACUGCAACAACAAACUGAGCCAGGAGAACAGCGAUCUGACCAACAAGCUGACUUCCAUCCUGCAGAAGUAUGAGAGGAGAGAGGAGACCUUAGAAAAGAUAUUCAAACACAGGGAUCUGCAGCAGGAGCUGUCAGAUGCCAAGCUGGAAGAAGCUAACCUGCGUCUGAAAGAAGCUGAGGAGAAACAUAAGAGGGAGAAGGAAUACUUGCUUAAAGAAGCAAUUGACAAAACAAAGAAAUGCUUCACAAUGAAGGAGCAGGAGUUGCAGAUGAAGAAGCAGCUGGUGUUGUACUCUCAGAAGUUUGAUGAGUUCCAGGCUACGCUGUCCAAAAGCAAUGACGUUUACGCUGUUUUCAAACAAGACAUGGAAAAGAUGAACAAGAAGAUGACGAAACUGGAGAAGGAGGGCAACAUGUGGAAAAUCCGCUUUGAAAACUGCAACAAAGCUCUUACUGAGAUGAUUGAUGAGAGAUCUGAGAAGGGCAAACAGAUGGAGCUCUUUACUGUGAAGAUCGAUAAGUUGCAGACGCUGUGCCGAGCUCUCCAGGAGGAGAGGAAAAUACUGUAUGAUAAGAUAAAGGAGAUCCGCUUGCAGACUGCACCAGCAUCAGCACCUAUAGAAGACAUUACGGAGGAAGAGAUUCCAGACCUCGCCCAGCUGUCUGUCUUAGAGCCGGAGAACAACCCGGCACUUACACCAGAGAUGGAGAAGCUGUGGAAGGAGCAAGCCCGUCUGAAGGAAUUUGCAGCCUUGCUGAUGGCCUCAACUACAAAGGACACGGACAGCUCUAACAGUGAUGAGGAAUUAUCUGAGCCCAAACAAACUGCUCAACUAACUCCUCUUGUUCCUGUGCCAAAUAAGACAAUCCAGUCUAAUCAACAGGAAGAAGAGCCAACUAAAGCAGAACCACCUAAAGCAGAACCACCAAAAGAAGAAACACCCAAAGUAGAACCACCUAAAUCAGAACCACCAAAAGAAGAACCACCCAAAGUAGAACCACCUAAAUCAGAACCACCAAAAGAAGAACCACCCAAAGUAGAACCACCAAAAGAAGAACCACCUAAAGCAGAACCACCCAAAGUAGAACCACCCAAAGUAGAACCACCAAAAGAAGAACCACCUAAAGCAGAACCACCCAAAGUAGAACCGCCUAAAGCAGAACCACCAAAAGUAGAACCACCAAAAGCAGAACCACCAAAAGAAGAGCCCCCCAAAGCAGAAACACCCAAAGAAGAGCCCCCCAAAGCUGAACCUCCCAAAGAAGAACCGCCCAAAGUAGAACUUCCCAAAGCAGAACCACCCAAAGAAGAGCCCCCCAAAGCAGAACCACCCAAAGCAGAACCUUGCAAAGAACAACCACCCAAAGUAGAACUUCCCAAAGCAGAACCACCUAAUGCAGAAUCACACAAAGAAAAGUUAGCUAAAGUGCCAAAGAAAAAUGUUGCAAAAGUAGAACCAAUCCAGCAGAACACACACCCACAAAAAUCCAACAAGCCAAAUUCUGUUGAACAAAAAGAACCACAACCCAAAGAAAUGAAAACAGUAAGAGCUCAAGCUGAAGCUCCUCAAGUGAAUUCUAGCAAAAAUGAACUUCACACAGAACAAGACCCCAAAGAUGAGUCUACUAAAGAAGCUCUAGUGGCUGAAACGGAGCCUAUAAAGUCAGAACCACCCGAGGCUUCGACAGCAGGAGCAGCAAAACCACAGAACUGCAAAUGCUCAGAGUCCAAAGCCAGUGCUAAUAAAGCACACAGCAAGAAACCGAGCUCCUCUAAGAAGAAAGCUGCCACAAAAGCGACCAAGAAGAGCUGUUGAACGACAUGGAGUGUUUGAUUCCUCUCGUUUCCUCUAAUUCCUGAUUUACAGUGUGUGUGUGUGUGUGUGUGUGUGUGUGUGUGUACACUAGUGUAAACUAGUUUAGUUUUGAGCAGCCACAUUUUCCAUGAAAUGGACAAGAGAAAUAAGACUGAAGUAGAUGAGGAAAAAAAAAAUAACAAAACAAAAAAAUAAACCAAACUAAACGACGACAGUUUUGCAGCCUGCAGGACAAACCUGCAGCUACUGGACCCAGCAUGUGACUGAUUGUCUACAACGUCCUAAGAAAGGUACAAUAUAUAUAUAUUUUUUUUAUUUCCAAGACACUCCUGGAUAGAAGAAACAAAACAAACAGGAAAAUAAAUCAUGCUAACAUGCAGAAUUUCUCCCAGACACAGAUUUCGUUCAUAAAAAUCCCGACGCAGCUGCAGCGAAGCCUCUCGAGGAAAUAAAAAAUAAAAAAUUUAAUUCACAAACUGGUAUUAUACAAACUGGACAAAAUGAAUAAAAAUGUAUAGUUAUUUAUAGAUUUUUAUAUAUAUAUAUAUAUAUAUAUAUAUAUAUAUAUAUAUAUAUAUAUAUAUACACACACACUUAUUUAUAUUAAUUUGACAGUUGAAAAGUGGAACCUCGCUUUGAGUAACCGGAGCGUCUCAGCAGAGUUUUUUUUUAUGCCACUGCGACAAAUGUGUAUGAAUAAGGCAGCAAAAAGAUCUCGCUCAAGCAGCAGUGCCGACAGAGUAGAGCGGAGACGAGGGAAAGACGACGACGACCCGGCGCAGUGCGGUGUGGGUCUGGAUCGCAUCUCGGUGUGAUGAGUUUAAAAGCAGUUGUUUGAGGAAUGUCUGAGGAACAUAAGCGUGAGAGAGAUGGAGGAGUGGAGCACCUGAAGAACAUUGGCAUAGUUUGGAAAAAACUUCGCAGCAAUUACAAGGAGAACACUUAAACGUAGCGGAAAAGUGAGGAUACCCUGCUCGCUCGCCGAUGACGAUGAAGGGCUACUGCUUAGUUCUUUCUGAAGAACCUGAGAAACUUCCAAGUUUGACAUCAAAAAAGCAAAUCGACGCUCUGCUCUGUUACAUUCAGGGGACGUGUGUAGUUUCGGACUCUGUUUUUUUUUUGUUUUUUUUUAAUGUUGUAGGUUUUUUCCUAACGAUGGCCUCUUUCCUUUGAAUUGAAUUAUAAAGUGCAAAACUAGAUUGUUUUCCUUGCAAAUUCCUGGAACUUAGUUUUUGUUUUUUUUUGGUUUAUUUUUUUUUUAUUGUUUUUUUUUUGUUGAGUAAAAAAAAAUAUGUAAAGUACAGCAAACACGUUUUCUUACAAAGGUCGUUGAUAUAUAAGAAAAUCCGUCGACAAGAAAAAUCCACAGACGAGAGGAAAGCGUCUCCUCCGCGACUAAAAUAUAUAUACAACAGGCACCUCCGAUCUGGUAGAAAGAAUUUCACUAAAUAAAAGCAAAAAGUUUUAAGAA